AUACGGAAGGUCCGGGCGUUAUCCGGAUUUAUUGGGCUUAAAGGGAGCGCAGGCGGAGAUGCAAGCGUGACGUCAAAUUUCGGGGCUCAACCCCGUCUCGCGUCGCGAACUGCGUCCCUUGGUUGCGGGAAGGGGAGGCGGAACUCGUGGUGUAGCGGUGAAAUGCAUAGAUAUCACGAAGAACUCCGAUCGCGAAGGCAGCCUUCCGGCCCGUCAACGACGCUCAUGCUCGAAGGUGCGGGUAUCAAACAGGAUUAGAUACCCUGGUAGUCCGCACAGUAAACGAUGGACACCCGCGGUUUGGCCUGUAUGGCUGAGCUGCCAAGCGAAAGCGUUAAGUGUCCCACCUGGGGAGUACGCCGGCAACGGUGAAACUCAAAGGAAUUGACGGGG
rnacentral:rRNA from 1 species